AGUGGAAGUGCUGCGAGGCAUGGAGCGGACCAUUACUAAUCGAUCGAGGACUUAACCAAG
rnacentral:rRNA from 1 species